rnacentral:rRNA from 1 species
AAACUAACAAGGAUUCCCCUAGUAACUGCGAGUGAAGCGGGAAAAGCUCAAAUUUGGAAUCUGGCUGUUGUAUGACAGUCCGAGUUGUAAUUUAAAGAAGUGUUACCCGUUCUGGACUGUGCAUAAGUCUUCUGGAAAGAAGCAUCAUAGAGGGUGAUAAUCCCGUCUUUGGUACAGUUUCCCAGGGCAUUGUGGUACACUUUCAAUGAGUCGAGUUGUUUGGGAAUGCAGCUCAAAAUGGGUGGUAAAUUCCAUCUAAAGCUAAAUAUUGGCGUGAGACCGAUAGCGAACAAGUACCGUGAGGGAAAGAUGAAAAGAACUUUGGAAAGAGAGUUAAACAGUACGUGAAAUUGCCAAUAGGGAAACACUUGAAGUCAGUCGCGUUGCUCAAAGAUCAGCCUUGCCUUGGCUUGGUGUACUUUUUGAGUAAUGGGUCAACAUCAGUUUUAGUUGCUGGAGAAAGGCGAGAGGAAUGUGGCUCCCUCGGGAGUGUUAUAGCCUCUUGUUGUAUACAGUGAUCAGGACUGAGGAACUCAGCACGCUCUCUGUUGUGCUCAGGAUGUUGGCAUAAUGGCUUUAAGUGAC